rnacentral:rRNA from 1 species
GACGAAGGUGGCAAGCGUUAUUCGGAUUUACUGGGCAUAAAGCGCGCGUAGGCGGCUUGGCAAGUCGGGGGGUGAAAGCCCGCAGCUCAACUGCGGAACUGCCUUCGAUACUGCCGGGCUUGAGGGCGGGAGGGGUGAUUGGAACUCCAGGUGUAGCGGUGAAAUGCGUAGAUAUCUGGAGGAACACCGGAGGCGAAGGCGAAUCACUGGACCGCUUCUGACGCUGAGGCGCGAAAGCUAGGGGAGCAAACAGG